rnacentral:misc_RNA from 1 species
GAUGAAGAACGCAGCGAAAUGCGAUAAGUAAUGUGAAUUGCAGAAUUCAGUGAAUCAUCGAAUCUUUGAACGCACAUUGCGCCCGCCAGUAUUCUGGCGGGCAUGCCUGUUCGAGCGUCAUUACAACCCUCAGGCCCCCGGGCCUGGCGUUGGGGAUCGGCGGAGCCCCCCGUGGGCACACGCCGUCCCCCAAAUGCAGUGGCGGUCCCGCCGCAGCUUCCAUCGCGUAGUAGCUAACACCUCGCGACUGGAGAGCGGCGCGGCCACGCCGUAAAACACCCAACUCUUCUGAAGUUGACCUCGAAUCAGGUAGGAAUACCCGCUGAACUUAAGCAUAUCAAUAGGCGGAGGA